AAUGGGUCAGCGACUUAUAUUCUGUAGCAAGGUUAACCGAAUAGGGGAGCCGAAGGGAAACCGAGUCUUAACUGGGCGUUAAGUUGCAGGGUAUAGACCCGAAACCCGGUGAUCUAGCCAUGGGCAGGUUGAAGGUUGGGUAACACUAACUGGAGGACCGAACCGACUAAUGUUGAAAAAUUAGCGGAUGACUUGUGGCUGGGGGUGAAAGGCCAAUCAAACCGGGAGAUAGCUGGUUCUCCCCGAAAGCUAUUUAGGUAGCGCCUCGUGAAUUCAUCUCCGGGGGUAGAGCACUGUUUCGGCAAGGGGGUCAUCCCGACUUACCAACCCGAUGCAAACUGCGAAUACCGGAGAAUGUUAUCACGGGAGACACACGGCGGGUGCUAACGUCCGUCGUGAAGAGGGAAACAACCCAGACCGCCAGCUAAGGUCCCAAAGUCAUGGUUAAGUGGGAAACGAUGUGGGAAGGCCCAGACAGCCAGGAUGUUGGCUUAGAAGCAGCCAUCAUUUAAAGAAAGCGUAAUAGCUCACUGGUCGAGUCGGCCUGCGCGGAAGAUGUAACGGGGCUAAACCAUGCACCGAAGCUGCGGCAGCGACACUAUGUGUUGUUGGGUAGGGGAGCGUUCUGUAAGCCUGUGAAGGUGGCCUGUGAGGGUGGCUGGAGGUAUCAGAAGUGCGAAUGCUGACAUAAGUAACGAUAAAGCGGGUGAAAAGCCCGCUCGCCGGAAGACCAAGGGUUCCUGUCCAACGUUAAUCGGGGCAGGGUGAGUCGACCCCUAAGGCGAGGCCGAAAGGCGUAGUCGAUGGGAAACAGGUUAAUAUUCCUGUACUUGGUGUUACUGCGAAGGGGGGACGGAGAAGGCUAUGUUGGCCGGGCGACGGUUGUCCCGGUUUAAGCGUGUAGGCUGGUUUUCCAGGCAAAUCCGGAAAAUCAAGGCUGAGGCGUGAUGACGAGGCACUACGGUGCUGAAGCAACAAAUGCCCUGCUUCCAGGAAAAGCCUCUAAGCAUCAGGUAACAUCAAAUCGUACCCCAAACCGACACAGGUGGUCAGGUAGAGAAUACCAAGGCGCUUGAGAGAACUCGGGUGAAGGAACUAGGCAAAAUGGUGCCGUAACUUCGGGAGAAGGCACGC
rnacentral:rRNA from 1 species